GCGAUGGCAGCUCUCCAGCUCUGUCACAUUCCUUCCUGGAAGACACCAGCGCCGGAAAGUCUUCUGUUAACAUUUAACCAGAGCUGUGUCCUGGUCUCACCUGAGCCGGAGGUCGGAUCAGUGCAUGAACCCUGGACCCACAUUCACCUGUUCACUCGUUUACUCUGCACUACAUUUCUUCAUGUGAGCGUUUCAUUUCCUCGAAGGAAGUAUUCAGAUUGUUUCUGUUUUCUCUGAAUGAGAAGAGCUGAUUCAGAAACCGGUUCAGCAGAAUCAGUGUGUGUGAUGUAAACAGACCGAGUGUGAUCACAUCAACAGACGCACGUCCUCAAAACAGGAACAAAGAGCGGAACAGUUUCCUGUUUGGGCAGAAUCUCCUUUUAGAGACGGACUAAAACAUAAAUAUCAGAGUUGUCCAGGAUGGAGCUACUUGAAGCACUCAGAGGAGACUCCACGUCCACCGGACUCCAUCAGAACCAGCAUCACUAGAAGAACCGUUUAAAGUGGAACACGUUAACAUUUACUCCAUCGGAUCCGUCUCUCUGCAGCAGAAUCAUCCUGGAGCUGAUGGCGUCUCUGGUUUGUCCAGGAAAGUCCGUCCACAGAGCAGUGAGGACUACAGAGUCUGUUCAUCACAUGAAGACCUGGUCCUGAUCCAGACCCUGAUCCUGAUCCAGACCCUGAUCCUGAUCCAGACCCUGGUCCUGGUCCUGGUCCUGAUCCUGAUCCUGAUCCUGAUCCUGAUCCUGAUCCUGGUCCAGACCCAGACCCUGGUCUCUGGAGCAGAGGCUGGAUCAGCGUAAAGCUGCAGUCUGUAAACGGUUCCUGGUCCUGGUCCGUGGUCCUGGUCCAGACAGAGCUGCAGUCUGUAAAGGGUUCCUGGUCCUGGUCCGUGGUCCUGGUCCAGACAGAGCUGCAGUCAGUGGGUCAGCUCGGUGCUGGUCUGCGGGUGCAGGGAGGGGCCGUGGUUUGGGAUGAAAGCCGGGUUUGGUGGGUGGGGCUUGUUGUAAUUGUGAAACUUGAACCACCAGCAGCAAAUAAAUGAAUGUGUCUCAGAUGAAAUAAUGUUUUAUUUCUUUAGUCUCAGUCUGAACCUGAUUCUCCUCAGACGUCAGACGAAAACAGCGCCUGUGUUUUCCAGCCUGUUGAGUCUGGAGGGAGGUGGGUUUGGGUGGAGGCGUGGAGGCGACUCUGUGGUUGGUAAAUUUAGCCUCAGCCAGGAUAAAAAUAAGCGGCGGCGUCCAGAGGAGGUAUUUAUAGAGCAGAGCGGCAGCUUCACGCUCCUCUGACUGGAAACACUAUUUAAAGCUGCUCCGCGAAAACAUCCAAUCAAGAUCACGUCUGGAAUCUCUAAAAUAUUAAAUCACAGCCGACGAGUCUCACAUGGAAACUUAUGAGUUCGAUGGAACCAGGGAACAGAAUGUGAAUGUUUAUCUGGAUUCUUUGCCUGUAACUUCAAACUUUAUUUUUAAUUGUAGUUCAGUGGCCACAUUCAGCCCAGUUUGAUCUAAAGACUGAACAAAUAUUCAAUAUAUGAUACUUAUUAUGAAAAAAAAAGACUUAAGCCAUUAUUUUACGAAGGUGUGGUUCUGUCUAGUCCUGGUUCUGUCCGGUCCUGGUCCUGGUCCGGUCCUGGUCUCAGUGUUGUGUUCACUUCUCUGAAUAAACCAGAGGAUAAAUUAGAAAUAAAAUCGUAUUAGUAAGUUGCAGAUUUCUGCAGGACCACAUCAGUCCCUCUGGUGGGCAGCUUUUGGGCCGUGAGCCGUAUGUUUGACACAUGUGGUUUAAAAGAAGAGCAGAGCGUGAAAGAGAAAGGAGAGAAAGGGGUGAGAGGGGUGAGGGGGGUGAGUAAUACUCCUCAGAUCUGAUUGUGACUCACGUCUGUUUGACUCCAGCUGAAUGUUCAGCUUCCAACACACAACAGAGACAGAGUCAUCCUGAGGACGUCUUCAUGUGGGGGGACAUGAAGACGUCCACAUCAGAGACGGCUGCAGAUAAGAAGAUCCACCGUCAGAUCCACCCUGGCCCUCCAGAGACCAGGUCUGGGACCAGGUCUGGGUCCAGGUCUGGGUCCAGGUCU